UGUGACGGCGUGCCUUUUGUAGAAUGAGCCAGCGAGUCGCUGGCGCGGGGCGAGGUUAACCGAAAGGGAGCCGGAGCGAAAGCGAGCCUUAACAGGGCGACUUGAGUCCCGCGCCGCGGACGCGAAGCCGGGUGAGCUAUCCGUGGGCAGGCUGAAGCGGGGGUAAGACCCCGUGGAGGGCCGAACGCACGUCGGUUGAAAACGGCGGCGAUGACCUGCGGAUAGGGGUGAAAGGCCAAUCAAACCCGGAGAUAUCUCGUUCUCCCCGAAAUAGCUUUAGGGCUAGCGUCGCGCGUUCACCGCCGGAGGUAGAGCACCGGAUGGACGAGGGGGCUUCGCCGCCUACCGAAUCCAACCGAACUCCGAAUGCCGGCGGCCCAGAGCGCGGCAGUCAGAGCAUGUGGGCUAAGCUGUGUGCUCGAGAGGGAAACAGCCCGGACCGCCCGCUAAGGUCCCCAAGUUCCAGCCGAGUGGCAAAGGAUGUGCGUCCGCCCAGACAACCAGGAUGUUGGCUUAGAAGCAGCCAUCCAUUCAAAGAGUGCGUAACAGCUCACUGGUCGAGUGGACAUGCGCCGACAAUACACGGGGCUAAGCUGGACACCGAAGCGGCGGGAUUUUGAUUUUCAGAAUCGGUAGGGGAGCUUCCCAUGGGCGGUGAAGCCGGAGGGCGACCGGCGGUGGAGCGCAUGGGAGUGAGAAUGCUGGCAUGAGUAGCGAGAGACGAGAGAGUAACUCGUCCGCCGUGAACCCGAGGUUUCCUGGGCAAGGCUAAUCCUCCCAGGGUCAGUCGGGGGCUAAGGCGAGGCCGGAAGGCGUAGCCGACGCGCAGCAGGCAGACAUUCCUGCACCGCGCACGCGGCGCUACGACCGACGGGGCGACGGAUGGGGGUGGCUCGGCGGGGUUCUGGACGUCCCCGUGAUGGAGCGCGGCCCGCGGACCAGGGAAAUCCGGUCCGCACGAGGGCGAGGCUCCGGACGAAGC
rnacentral:rRNA from 1 species